rnacentral:rRNA from 1 species
GACGAACGCUGGCGGCGUGCUUAACACAUGCAAGUCGAACGGAAAGGCCCUGCUUUUGUGGGGUGCUCGAGUGGCGAACGGGUGAGUAACACGUGAGUAACCUGCCCUUGACUUUGGGAUAACUUCAGGAAACUGGGGCUAAUACCGGAUAGGAGCUCCUGCUGCAUGGUGGGGGUUGGAAAGUUUCGGCGGUUGGGGAUGGACUCGCGGCUUAUCAGCUUGUUGGUGGGGUAGUGGCUUACCAAGGCUUUGACGGGUAGCCGGCCUGAGAGGGUGACCGGCCACAGGGGGGCGGAGUUACGGCGCAGGCUCGGACGGGAGGCAGCAGUGGGGAGUGUGGGACAGUGGGCGGAAGCCUGACGCAGGAUCGCGGCGGGCGGGAUGAGGGCCUGCGGGUGGUAAAUCGCUAUCGCCGGUGACGAAGCGGGAGUGAAGGGAAUGGGUAGAGGAACACCGGCUGACUACGU